rnacentral:rRNA from 1 species
GACGAACGCUGGCGGCGUGCUUAACACAUGCAAGUUGAACGGAAAGGCCCCUUUGGGGGUACUCGAGUGGCGAACGGGUGAGUAACACGUGAGUAACCUGCCCUUGACUUCGGGAUAACUUCAGGAAACUGGGGCUAAUACCGGAUAGGAAUCCUUGCUGCAUGGUGGGGGUUGGAAAGCUUCGGCGGUUUUGGAUGGACUCGCGGCUUAUCAGCUUGUUGGUGGGGUAGUGGCUUACCAAGGCUUUGACGGGUAGCCGGCCUGAGAGGGCGACCGGCCACAUUGGGACUGAGAGACGGCCCAGACUCCUACGGGAGGCAGCAGUGGGGAAUAUUGCACAAGGGGCGGAAGCCUGAUGCAGCAACGCCGCGUGCGGGAUGACGGCCUUCGGGUUGUAAACCGCUUUCAGCAGGGGCGAAGCUUGUGGUGACGGUACCUGCAGAAGAAGCACCGGCUAACUACGUG